rnacentral:rRNA from 1 species
GCUCAAAUUUGAAAUCUGGUAGCCUUCGGUUGCCCGAGUUGUAAUCUAGAGAAGUGUUUUCCGCGUUGGCCCAUGUACAAGUCCCUUGGAACAGGGCGUCAUAGAGGGUGAGAAUCCCGUCCUUGACAUGGACCCCCAAUGCUUUGUGAUACACUUUCAACGAGUCGAGUUGUUUGGGAAUGCAGCUCAAAAUGGGUGGUGAAUUCCAUCUAAAGCUAAAUAUUGGCGAGAGACCGAUAGCGAACAAGUACCGUGAGGGAAAGAUGAAAAGCACUUUGGAAAGAGAGUUAAACAGUACGUGAAAUUGUUGAAAGGGAAACGAUUGAAGUCAGUCAUGCUCUUUGGAUUAAGCCGUUCUGCGGUGUAUUUCAUUGAGCGGGGUCAACAUCAGUUUUGAUCGCUGGAAAAGGGCAGGAGGAAGGUAGCACUCUCGGGUGAACUUAUAGCCUCUUGUCGUAUACAGUGAUUGGGACUGAGGAACGCAGCAUGCCUUUUGGCCGGGAUUCGUCCACGUACAUGCUUAGGAUGUUGACAUAAUGGGCUUUAAACGACCCGUCUU